CUCCCAUAUAACGCACAAACAUCGAAAUCGACUAUUUUUAUUACCUCCCAUUUAUUAGCUCGGGAUGUAACUAUGUAAUAUUGAUGCGCCUAAAAGAUGCAGCGAUUUCUAUUCUCAAGUUACAUAC